rfam:Loxodonta africana unplaced genomic scaffold scaffold_88, whole genome shotgun sequence.
ACCUUGGUGGUUCAGCGGUAGAAUUUCCGCCUUCCAUGCGGAAGACCCAGGUUCGAUUCCUGGUCGAUGUA